rnacentral:rRNA from 1 species
UACGUAGGGGGCAAGCGUUGUCCGGAAUCAUUGGGCGUAAAGCGCGUGUAGGCGGCCUGAUAAGUAGGGGGUGAAAUCCUGCGGCUUAACCGCAGGGCUGCCUUCUAAACUGUCAGGCUUGAGCACAGUAGAGGCAGGUGGAAUUCCCGGUGUAGCGGUGGAAUGCGUAGAGAUCGGGAAGAACAUCAGUGGCGAAGGCGGCCUGCUGGGCUGUUGCUGACGCUGAGGCGCGACAGCGUGGGGAGCAAACAGG